UUUAACACUUCAUGACUGACAACACAACACAACACAAUCUUCAGCAUCACACAAACCAACAAGAACAACAAUGACUUUCAGCAUCAUCUUCAUCUGGACACUCACAGUGUUUAUUACAGAAUCCAGAGGAGUUACUCUGACUCAACCUAGAGUGAAAAGUGUUCAACAGGGACAAACAGCUACAAUAGAGUGUCAUAUAGAUGUAGGAAUAUAUAGAGACAACUUAUUCUGGUAUCAGCAGAGACCGGGAGAAGCUCCUAAACUCCUCAUAUAUGACAUCAGAAGCCUCCAGUCUGGAGUAUCAUCUAGAUUCAGUGGCAGUGGAACAGCAAGUACUGGAAAAGAUUUUACUCUGAGCAUCAGUGGAGUUCAGACUGAAGAUUCAGGAGAUUAUUACUGUCAGAGUUAUCACAGUGGUAAUGUGUUGACACAGUGAUAAAGAGUCGUACAAAAACCUCCGUCAGUCAGACUGAACAGUGACUGCACUGAUACACCUGACACAUACUGCAGCUGAUCAUACAACACACACAAAACACUGAUCACUAAUGACAAAGCACUGUUUUUUGUAAUUAUGAAGAUAAUCAAAAAAUAUCUUUAACAUUCAUACUGACUACUGAAAUAUCAGAUUAUUUUUAAUUUCCAUAAUUCAUAUUACUGACUCCUUUAUAUAAGAUGUUUUUCUCUGUUUGUGUGUGUUCUUGUAACCAACAUAUCUAAUGAUCUUUAUGAGAUAAACGUUAUGAUCAGAUGCACAAACAGCUGCUGUUCAUCAUCACAACAUUUGUCAAGAGAGUUCAGUGUUCACACCAGUCAAGAGAAAAAAUACAUUUACAUUUUGAUCAUAAUAUUCUUUUAGUUAAAUUCAUGAUUUAUAUCAAUCAUAUAUGUGCACAAACAACUUUAUAACAUAGUAAUAAAUAUAUUGUCUUUUUGGUUUACAGUA